AUGAAUCCAUGGAGAUCCAUCCACCUGUCAGUCUGAUACACUGGACUUUGUUUUGUCCAUGCAGCUGGUAAACCAAAGGCUUCCACCAGAUGUUCCAACAAGACCGGAUCACUUGGUUUGGACCGUCCGCUGCAGCUGCUCCAGUGUGAUCAGACGCUCAGCAACAUACAACUAAAUCUCACCAACGUGGCUGAUUUAGAGACACUGGCGUCCAGCACACAAAUUCUGACGUCCAGACCUGGAGAGCUGACGGCCGACAACAUUACGACCGCAGCUCAUAUCGUCAACACGCUGCUGCUGUCUCCUAACGCCACAGAGAGCGUCAGGGUGGCAGCAGUAGCUACCGUCAGUCAGCUGCUCAACGCCAGCACUCCAGACACCGAGGAAAAC